UGGGGAAUAUUGCACAAUGGGCGCAAGCCUGAUGCAGCCAUGCCGCGUGUAUGAAGAAGGCCUUCGGGUUGUAAAGUACUUUCAGCGGGGAGGAAGGGAGUAAAGUUAAUACCUUUGCUCAUUGACGUUACCCGCAGAAGAAGCACCGGCUAACUCCGUGCCAGCAGCCGCGGUAAUACGGAGGGUGCAAGCGUUAAUCGGAAUUACUGGGCGUAAAGCGCACGCAGGCGGUCUGUCAAGUCGGAUGUGAAAUCCCCGGGCUCAACCUGGGAACUGCAUUCGAAACUGUCAGGCUAGAGUCUUGUAGAGGGGGGUAGAAUUCCAGGUGUAGCGGUGAAAUGCGUAGAGAUCUGGAGGAAUACCGGUGGCGAAGGCGGCCCCCUGGACGAAGACUGACGCUCAGGUGCGAAAGCGUGGGGAGCAAACAGG
rnacentral:rRNA from 1 species